rnacentral:rRNA from 1 species
UACGGAGGGAGCUAGCGUUGUUCGGAAUUACUGGGCGUAAAGCGCACGUAGGCGGCGAUUCAAGUCAGAGGUGAAAGCCCGGGGCUCAACCCCGGAACUGCCUUUGAAACUAGAUUGCUAGAAUCUUGGAGAGGUCAGUGGAAUUCCGAGUGUAGAGGUGAAAUUCGUAGAUAUUCGGAAGAACACCAGUGGCGAAGGCGACUACUGGACACAUACUGACGCUGAGGUGCGAAAGCGUGGGAG